ensembl:lncRNA
AAAUAGAUAGAUAGAUAGAUAGAUAAACAAAUGAGUGAGUGAGAAAAAUGAAUGAGUGAGUGAGAAGAUAGAUAGAUAGAUAAAUGAAUGAGUGAGUGAGUAAAUAGAUAGAUAGAUAGAUAGAUAGAUAGAUAGAUAAAUGAAUGAGCGAGUGAAUAGAUAGAUAGAUAGAUAGAUAGAUAGAUAGAUAGAUAAAUGAAUGAGGGAGUGAGUAAUAGAUAGAUAGAUAGAUAGAUAGAUAGAUAAAUGAAUGAGGGAGUGAGUAAAUAGAUAGAUAGAUAUAUAGAUAGAUAAAUGAGUGAGUGAGAAAAUAGAUGAAUAAAUGAAUGAGCGAGUGAGUAGAUAGAUAGAUAGAUAGAUAAAUGAACGAGCGAGUGAGUAGAUAGAUAGAUAAAUAAACGAGCGAGUGAGAAGAUGGAUAGAUAAGUGGAUAAUGAGUGAGUAAAUAAGUGAUCUGAUUUCCCGAGCUCCGGGUCAGCACUGCUGUCUGUGCGUUGUGUUCUCAGUAGCGUUUGUGUAUUUCAGUAAUAAUUUGACGACGCAGUCACUGCAAGCACGCUCUAUACCGUUAACCGUUAUUUACUUUAAUACUCCUCCGUUCCUAUACUUUUGCUCACGUAAAAUCAGACCGGAUGGUCCGAGACAAAAGUUGUUUAUCACAUCUAGAUGUAAACGUGAGGAAAUCCGAUCUACCGUCUCGUGUUCAUCUUUUCA